rnacentral:sRNA from 1 species
GGCAGCCAAGCCUCCUCUCCUAAGCCUGCCCUUGGCCGGAUGGGAGGGUUCGAGUCCCUGGAGGGGCCCGUGAUCCCGGAGGAAAAGCCGGGCCGGGGUCCCUGCCUGGACCUUGUCGUCCCUGUGAGAAAGGAGUGGCUGCCUUCCUGGAUCCUGAAGGAGUGAAGUGGUUUGAAGCCUUCUGUGUGGGGGGCCUGGCCCCCGGCUGGAACCUGCUGGUCCAGGGACAUGCUGACUCUGGAGAGGACAGGUUCGAGACUAACUUCUUGUUGGAGACAGGGGACAUUGCCUUCCACAUCAAGUCCCAGUUCUCCAGCGCCGCCGUGGUGGGCAAUGCCUUCCAGGGUGGCCGCUGGGGCCCGGAGCAGGUGUCUAGCAUCUUCCCGCUGGCCCCGGGGGAGCCCUUGGAGGUGACAGGGGCCUGGAUGGGGCCUGGGCUAGGCAGGGGAGGCCCGUGGGGGAACAGGGAGCCAGCGGGCAGGGGGUUCACGGUGGACGCUUACAGGUCAGUGGGCCAGGGCAGGGUCUGGGUGGGCCUCCCUGGCCUGUUUCCCUACAUGUGCAGUGGGUACCCACCACCCUGGCUACCAGCCACUCCGUCUUGGGAGAAAGGAGGGGACUUUGGGCUGGGGGCUCCAAGCCAAGAGA